rnacentral:rRNA from 1 species
UACAGAGGGUGCAAGCGUUAAUCGGAAUUACUGGGCGUAAAGCGCGCGUAGGUGGUUUGUUAAGUUGGAUGUGAAAGCCCCGGGCUCAACUCGGGAACUGCAUCCAAAACUGGCAAGCUAGAGUACGGUAGAGGGUGGUGGAAUUUCCUGUGUAGCGGUGAAAUGCGUAGAUAUGCGGAGGAACACCGAUGGCGAAGGCAAUCCCCUGGGCCUGCACUGACGCUCAUGCACGAAAGCGUGGGGAGCAAACAGG